UAGAAGCUCGAGAUGCUGGCGCAGUUCCGCUAGUAGAAUGUUUAGGCUCAACCAAAGCAUGUGUUUUCUAUUAUUAUUAUUAUUAUUAUUAUUAUUAUUAUUAUUAUUAUUAUUAUUAUUAUUAUUAUUAUUAUUAUUCGUCUUCUACACUAACGAUACGGCGCAGCACGCCAAGCCAUCGCUUCGUUGACAUCAACUACCAUUUCUCUCUCGCUCAACCGGAAACCGAAUAAGCCCAGCUUUCUCAACUCUUGCGCCCCGCAGAAAGGGAGGAGGAAAGUAUCGAGACUACACUGGUUCGCAGAUCGGUCACCAGAUGCCUCCACAGCGGCGGCAGCCGCAAAACACCACAGCUGCGCCGAACCGUUAGCCGAUGCAACUACCAUCUCAGUCGGAAUCCGCACGCCGAGUGGCGCCACCUGCUUUCGCGCCUAACGUCAGAGAGCAGAACGGGAAGGAGGAGCGUGGAAGAGGAGGAAACGGCAGAGCAACACCAACAUGCAGCUACAGCAGCGCCACGCCGCGACCGAAAGACGACCCGCGUCAAACCACGCGCGCUCCGCGCACUGGACAGCACGGGCCCGCCGACACGAGGUUCUGCGAAAGGAUUCCGGCGCGUGAAGGCGUGCGGUGCGAGUGACUUGCUGCAGCGAGGGCCGCAACCCCGGGCACGCGGCAUCGGAGGAGAAGAGGCGGACCGCGGCCCAAGACCGGCAACAAAGCGGCAUGCCGCCUCGUCGAAGAGCAGCGCAGGCAUCGUGGGAUGGCAUUAAGAUACACAUGUGCAAGACCAGGAUCACAGACCGACAUGGAUGGCAGUUCAGAGGCUGUGACCAAAGAGGGAAGGAUGAGUCACUCGAGGCGUCACAAAGGAACUGGCGACUCUGCCCCGAGAUCAGGCAAGGCGCUUCCGAGAAUGACGUCACCUGAGGCUACAACAUAGCAAGCCCGCACUCAGCUCUGCCGUGAAGACUCACUAUCGAUAUGCCUACUCAGACGAGGGUCCGGCAGUGAAGGCAGUUUCCAAGAGAACUUGGGUGUAGAAGAAAACCGCUUGAGAUAAUUGGAACCCCUUGACGACAGCCACUGAAGCUAUACCAAGCUUGGAAGUAUUGAUACAUCUACAUGUAGGAAACUGCCAAAACGGCUGUUCUCGGAACGUUUUCUGAAAUUCGAGUUGACCAAGAGUUUCGGGGACAAAUGUCAAUCACAAGUAUAACUAAGCUUGCCCGCCCGACCAGUCACGGAGGAGGGCUCAGAGCUUACCUGUCCAGGAUCACAAGAGGGUCACGGCCCACCAGGACAUUCACAAAGCCAUCACUAGCCACAGCCCAGGGUCUCGGAAGACUUCACUGCUCACUCCUGGUAAAGAAGCUCGCUUAGUUAAGGGGCCCAGUUUUACGAACUCUCAGCAGUCACCAGUCGAUAAGGACAAGGGAACUGAGCACAGUUGCCGUCGUACGAGUUGGCGACGUUUUGAGAAGGUUCUACACCGCAACAGCGUAGUUCUUAGCCAGGACAUACAACAAGUGGGUCCUAAAUUGCAACGGUACUCCCUGUCGGCCAAUAUACCCAGAAAGUGACCUCGACCUCACCCACUGACUUCAAAGAUGCACAGUCGUCAGUACGAGCUCGGAAGACAGCAAGGAACUACAAGUCAACGACGGUUCUCACAACAGCGCAGUCUUCAAAAUGACUUUUAUCCCCGACUGCCGGGAAUGCGAAGUGAUCGAGAGCUGGCGCAUGAUCAGAAGACACGGGAGAACACACAGCACAGCCCGCCACGAAAUCCUGCAUCCAGGACAACAUCGCUGCAGGCGCCAACAUGUAUGGCCUCGCGCCGUCCACGAGAGAAUCUGGCGGCUUCGCAUCACGAAAGCCUUCUGCUGGUGCCAUAUUCUCGCUUAACACAGUCCCAGGCACAUAAUCAACGAAGAACGGCGACGUUUCGGAUCGCGCCAGCCCUGGUGGCCCCCACAUCCAUGCAGGCAGGCAUCACACUCGACCCCUGCCGCAACACCGGGAAAGUACCGUGGCUAGGACCAAGGAGUGACGCAAAACCGCCCACCAAGGAUACAAGAUCCCUGACGGUGCGAGAGCAGACGACACGACGCCCACGACGUCGUUGCAGGCGCCGGCGAAGCAGACGACGUAGAUUGACCGAUGGCGAUGCAGAAGCGCGGCAAAAGGUCGAGCGAAACUAGGAUCCCCCCCCCCCCCCCCUUUCCUCUUCUUUCACUUUUGACCUCGCCAAUCUGUAGCGUAGCGCGGCCAAUUUCGAUCGAGUAACCCACUUUCUAUAAAUAAUGCGCGCGAAGAAAAAUAAACACGACGUUAGCUGACGAGGCUGGAGUCGGACUUCUUUAAAGGAGAGCGGGGCAAGUCUAUAGAAAGAGGCACUGCCCACGUCCCCCGCUGGUGGCUGUGUCGUGGUAACAGAUUCACUCUUUGUGACUCUUGCAUGUGACUCUUGCAAGACGACUCCAAACGCUCAGUCCACGGUACAAUGAAAUCUGCUUAUCUCUAGACUCUAUAAUGGAAACAAUUAGGUUACACUUUAUUUGGUGGCUUUGAAUUGUUAUGGAUGUAAUGAGUGAAUUAUUUUGUUUAACGGUUUGUGUUUAUGUUCGUUUUGUUUUCUUUUUUUUCCGGGCCCAAACUACAACGACGGUACGUCAUCGUGAUUCGAUCCGAAGUAUAUUCGCGUAUGCCUUUGGGUCGAAAAGGUUUUCAGGACUCGCUAUGGCGGAGUCUUCGUCCCUUCAGAAUGCAGCGCAACACUUUUUAUUUUAUCUUUAGAACUACUAACUAGUCUACAAUUAACGAUAUACUAUAAUAGGGUGUCCCAGAUAACGUUAGCCAAGCCGUUCAACGAAAAAAAAAAAAAGUUAGGAAAGCACGAUGCGAGAUACGAUUUUAAGACCUACGGUGUGCGGUCAUCGGACCUCUGACAACCGAACACCGUAUACCUUACCGAUGUAAAUUUCAUCGUGUUUGUUAAAUUCCUUUUUUCCACUGAACAGCUUGGCUAACGUUAGCUUCUGCUCGGGCUAACAUAAGCCUGAGCAGGCGCUGUUAAAAUAAAUGUUGUCAAGGGGUAGUGCGGGUAGUUCAGUGUGGCGUCGCCACUUGUCCUUUCAAUUGGCGCCUCAUUUUCUUGGUUUACCAAUACUUCCUGUCUCGGUAAAAACGACACCUUUUGAAAUCCAGAAGUGUGGUUAAUCAAUCCAGUUUAACUCGAUGCUCCUUUUUAGUGUUUCUUUAACCCUUAAGACAUUGGAGCACGAGAAAACGCUAUCGUUAUAACUUUAUCGUUACAUAAUGUGAUUCAACAUCUCUAGUGUUAAUUAGCUAGCACAAUGAAAACGUUAUAUAAGUUCGUGCAAUAACCUUCGCAAUACCAAUACCACUACCGACGGUCCUAAAACUUAUGCACAUUCAUAAUCCGAGCUCUCACUCCGCACAACCUUACACCGCUGUUUGUGUGUUAUGUAAGGUCGUACUGUGCUGCAUUGCACGACAAACACCUGAUGCCGCGCGCGGCGUAAUGGCCUUCAAAAUUUUGACGCACGGUGUACAUAGGAAAGACCGCAAACGUGAAAAUGCACUGGAAGACUACACGGCACGUUUUUUCCCAAUCCCCUAGUUAGCGAAGGGGAAAAGAAAUGAACUAAAGAAUGUUCUUAUAUAUAUAAAAAAAGAAAAUGUCGUGCCCAGGCACGCAUGCCACGGAAUAAGACACGAGGGUCGCGCGCUUUAUGCGAACAUCCGGGGCCGCUCAACAGGUUUCCCUGGAGUUUCACUUCGUGCUUUCUUACUUUUAUUCGAUCCCGACUCUCUCGCCACUUUUGCUCGAGCGAAGGUUAUCGCUUUUGUGGCGCGCUUCGCCAACCUACGAGUCCUCUAUCUCACUCGCUCCCUCACUCACUCUCUACAUUCGGUAGGAAUAUGGCUGUGAGCAUCACACGCGCGCGCGACUACUAUAGAUGAGACCGUCGUCGACGGUCGUUAAAACGUAGAUGAGAUAUUCCGCCAACAGCACACAGUCCUAGAAUCAGGCACCUAGCCAGGAAUUCCUCGCUACGAGGAUGAGAGAGAGCCGAGACGCGGAGGUUCGAGCGAUCACAUUGAGGAACAGCUCCGCGGCGGCUAUUUCUGUGACUUAAAAAUGUGUUUGAACAGGAAGUUCGCAGUCAUCAACGGCGCUUUAUUUUUGGUGGUCGGGAAGUACAUCAUCGGCACACCCAUUAGGAUAAUUAUUGCGGCUUCGUGGCGGUAUAAGACCUGCCAACGCCUCAAGUGCAUCCCUCAGGCAAUCUCUAUUACGGGAGCGAUAAUUAGCGCGUUUAUUGCAAACGAUUACGAUUGGCGCGUUUUGUCAGGAGUCGCUGAGGCAUAAGAGAGAGAGAGAUAAUUGAACGUUAGAACUAAACAGUCGAUGUCCAAAAGAUGGCGACUAUGACGCGUUUCCGGUUCCCGCAAUCGCUUCCGGCACUUGCAGUACACAAACGUAUGGUCUUCGAGAUGCGCUUCUGUUACAAGAUCCGCCACGGUGGAAAUCGAACCCGCGACCUUAUGCUCAGCAGGAGAGCGCCGUAGCCACGACUGGCAUCGUUAUGCUAACCGGCGACAAAACGGAGUCCCAUGGAAAGUUAUACGCAGCGCUAUACAGUUUAAGCGGAUUCGUUAUAACGAUAGCAAAGGGAAGCUUGAGAAGCGUCAGAUGUUGAGUAUACGAGUCACGGACGAUCACGCGCUAGCGCACCGAUAUAAUUUCAAUACGAAGGCAAGAUGUGCGACACAGUUCGCUACAGCGAGGCAAGGUGCGGUACACACUUCGCUACAACGAGUACGGCUCAUGGAUUGCCAAGUUGCGCUGCAUACUUCUGACAAUACACGAAGAACACACACACAUAGACAGCGUGUAUGCAACGAAAAUUUGCAUCCAUGAUCACGAACAGUCUACAGCACAGACGCAACCGUUUAUUGAAUACGGCUCACUGACGAAACCGGGCGCCAUGACGACAAAACAAGGGGUCGCCGCCUCCGCUUUCGACACUGCCGCUGUAUGCCAGCGAAGCGAGCGCAUUUGUUUUUCGUCGGACAGGGCACCUGCAGAAAAACAACGGCACAAGGCGACGGCGUCUCUCGAACCGUGAGGUAACACACACACCGCCUUGACCAAUACACAGCGUAUAUACCACGCAACACACGUACGACUGCGUAAAACGUCCCGCCAUACCGGCGACCGGAGGGACCGCACCACACAACGGCCGUGAGAGGAGGGGAACCCAAGAAAUGCGCAUUUUUCAAACGGCGUCCUCCAAUGGCCACGACGAGCCAGAAACAGCUAUAGAGCGCGUGGACGCUUGACAUGCAUGGCGUCGAGUCGCGCGAGGCUGCGAACAUUCGAAUCCGUGCGCGGCGUGGUAUAUGGACCGCGGAGUUUCCCAUAAAAGUCACCAGGGGGAAAUGCGGCGCUCUAGUCUACGGGCGGUGCGGUUACGGCGGUUCGGUCAGCGUGGGAUGAUGAUGCAUGUGAAUGACAGUGCGUAUAAUAUAGACGGAUUUGGCUAAACUUCGUCUGUUCUGGCUUCCAACGGCUUUGUGACAUUGCAAAUUGAUCUUUCUGGGAGAAAACAUUGCGUUAUUAAAUGCAAUAAUUUGCAAUGAUUAAGAAGACGCGCAGAAAAUUCUUGCCUUCGUGCGUUUACGAAAAGCUUGAUUUCUUAGAAAUCAUAGAAAGAUAAAUCGUUAUAAGCGCAACAAGAACGUCUGAAGCCACAAACACGUGCCAAGAUUAGACAAAUCUGGAUACAAUUCACCAGAUAUAAUUCGUAAAUUGCAAUAUGCGCCGUAAAGUAAUUGAGAAGUUAAUAAGUUAAUUUUCGUUAAUUUAGUUGAAUAUGUGUUUCGAUUUCUCGUGCUAGUAAUGUCCGCCUCUUCGAAUAAUCCAGCUCAAGGAUAAGAACUAUGCUAUCUGCCACAGGCGAUUUUUAAAUACUCCAUAAAACUUUUAGAAUUAUCAUCAUGUAUAUACACUUCUUUUGCGAGGCCUGCUGCGGCUGCCAUCGCCAGAGGAAGCCGCACAACCUGUUCAGCUCAACGUUACUAUUAUAGGCGAUAUGUCGCUCAUACCUGCACAUACAUUACUGUUCCAGUAAUUGAGCAGCGCAAACAUUAUGGCAAGUUGGUGCUCCAUUGACUUAAGUAAGCACCAGUUAUAGCCCAGAAACAUGUCCUUCUCCAUUGACUUAGCGUAUAGCGCACAAUAAAACAAAGGACAGGGAACGAACGGCAAGGGCGGCCUGUCCUUUCAUUGUGCGCUACACUAUAUGUCAAAGUUCCAAUAAGAUGCACGCGCUUAUCACAACGGUUCGAACAGAUAAACACAAACGUCAGACCGACGCAGAUGUGCUUUGCCACCACCCCUUGGGCAUCGAGAGCAGAUUAAUGAAUAGUAAUGUUCCCCCAUAAUAGGCUACACGCAGUCGCAACAUCAUCAGCCUAUUUCAUGUACACUGCAGGGCGAAGGCCUGAGCGCGCGAUCGCCAAUUACACCUGUCUUGCGCCAGGCGACUCCAUCAUACGCGUGCGGAAAUUUCCUAAUCUCGCCGCAAGACCCAAUUCCGUUCUCUUGGCAUCCAUUAUAUGACUCAAAAUAGGCCACCGAUUAUCUGCUCUACGCAUUACCAUUAGCUCCAUUUCGCCCUAUUAAUAUCAACUAGAAUAUCACAACCGCUCACGCUAUAAUCGAAACCACCAUCUUGCUGUCGAUUAGCGCUGCCCUCAAGUUUCUUACCAAGUGUCCUUGUUAUCCUCCAAGUAAUUCACCCGAUAAAUCUCCCUUACGAACCGCGAAAUUAACCGAGGCGUAGGAACACUGUAAUGGCGCGCAUUUUGCAGCACCGUCUGCUGCAACGUCGUCAAAAGCAGACGCCUUGUUGACGACGCGUAGCAGACGACGCAUUCGUGCACCCUCGCUCUCCCAUGAUUGGUUGACGCGAGGUACAGCUCCCGAAAGGUUGCGCGGAUUUAGCGAGAUAGAGUAAAAGAAUAAGCACGAUAAAGAAAGUAUAAAAGAAAGUUUACGAGCUGAUGUAGUGUAGAUGAAACGGAAGAGAAAGACGGGGAAAGGGCAGAGGUCGCUUCAGAUCGAAAACGAGGAAAGAAAGGAAAGGCUAGCAGGCACGCACAUCCGCUUUUGGAGCCCUAACAAAGACGACAGUUCCGAAAGAGCACGCGCAAAUGAAAGAGAGAGAGAGAGAAGUAGACGCCGCCGUUUGGUGACGCGUUAUUGGCGCUUCCCGCGCAAAUCGCAUCAUCUGAAGCAGCCUUGAUGGCGGCCUAAAGAUUGGGCGAUCCGAAAGGUCGCCACCGCUUUCCGCGCCUUCUCGCCGCGUGGCGGCAGCUUAGUAGUCAGGAUGGUCGUA